CCUACGGGAGGCUGCAGUGGGGAAUCUUGUGCAAUGGGCGAAAGCCUGACACAGCGACGCCGCGUGAGGGAAGAAGGCCUUCGGGUUGUAAACCUCUUUCAGGAGGGACGCGGUACCUCCAGAAGAAGCCCCGGCUAACUACGUGCCAGCAGCCGCGGUAAUACGUAGGGGGCAAGCGUUGUCCGGAUUUAUUGGGCGUAAAGAGCGUGUAGGCGGCCAGAUAGUCAGCUGUGAAAACUCGAGGCUCAACCUCGAGACGUCGGUUGAAACCAUCUGGCUAGAGUCCGGAAGAGGAGAGUGGAAUUCCCGGUGUAGCGGUGAAAUGCGCAGAUAUCGGGAAGAACACCCGUGGCGAAGGCGGCUCUCUGGGACGGACUGACGCUGAGACGCGAAAGCGUGGGGAGCGAACAGGAUUAGAUACCCUUGUAGUC
rnacentral:rRNA from 1 species